rnacentral:rRNA from 1 species
AUUGAACGCUGGCGGCAGGCUUAACACAUGCAAGUCGAGCGGAGCGGCGGACGGGUGAGUAAUGCCUAGGAAUCUGCGUGGUAGUGGGGGCUAACGUCCGGUAACGGGUGGUAAUACCGCAUACUAUCAGAUGAGCCUAGGGCGGAUUGGCUGGUUGGUGGGGUAAAGGGCUAACAGGGCGACGAUCCGUAACGGGGCUGGGAGGAUGAUCAGUCAACCUGGAACAUGGACACGGGCCAUACUCCGACGGUAGGCAGCGGUGGGGAAGAUUGGACAAUGGGCGAAAGCCUGAUCCCGCCAUGCCGCGUGUGUGAAGGAGGGCUUCGGAUUGUAAGGCAGUUUAAGUUGGGAGGCGUUACCAACAGAAUAAGCACCGGCUAACUUCGUGCCAGCAGCCGCGGUAAUAC